UUUUUUUUUUCUGUUUGGGUGCUCAGAAACUCAAGAGAAUUCGUUGAAGUUAGAGCAAAAUUUUAUUUCAGUUGACUUUGUGGUUGUUAUUCUCUUCAUUCUCAGCAACCAAACAGAAUCUAAUUGUUUUAUUCAUAGUUUUGUUUAAUUGCUAUGUUUUAACUCGUCGAUCAUGUCGAGAAUUCGAUUUUUCUAAUUAUCGUUUUUUGAUUUUGGAUUGAUACAGGACAGGGACAAAGAUUUGUCAGUGAAGAUUGAAGAAGGAUUUGGACCAAAUGGGUUGGGAAUCCUAUCAAUCACUCAAGUAUGAUUUCGUUAUGCGAUUACCGUUGUUAAUUACUGAUUAUCUCUUCCAUUACCAGUUUUGGUAAGUUAAACUAUAUGUGCAGAAAGAAUUUGUUAACGAAUCGGUUAAAAAGAUAAACCACAUGAACUUGCAUAUGUAAUGUCGGGGUACUUUCUCCGUCAUGUAGAUUGUAGAUUGUGCUGUUUGGGCAACGAUAUUUUGCUCCAUUAUUCCAUUCAUAGCUCAUAAAUUAUGAUGUCUCAUGCUGUUGUUUUGAUGCUUCAUACCUAAUCGAUUCUUGUGAGAGCUAGCGUUUUGUUGUAAACUGAUACGUAUUUUCUUUCUAGCAUCUUUGUAAUUGUUUCUUUGAGUUUUCAAUUGCAGGUUCCGGGAUAUUCUUCCUUGCGCGGGAAUCUUCUAGGCUUGUCACCUAGGUAUAUCCCUUCUACGUAGGAUUUUCAUGUUCAUUUUAAGUUUUAACUGCAAUUCAUAAUGAAUUUAGGAAGAUAGUUUGUUAUAGCACUGCUCAUGGGAGUUUUCUUUUUGUUUAUUAGAUUAGCCAAUCUGCCCGAAGAGGUGAAGAAGGAACUUGAAGAUCCUCAUAGUAGGUAAGUCAUUUUAGUCCCAUUGUUAUACUUUGAUUUCUCUUAAGCCGUUGGCAUAAUUUUCGUGUAAACACAAACAUCAAUCUAUGUUUUACUUACAAUAGAGAAAAAUUCCAAAAAUCCCUGCCGCAUCUCAACUCUUGGAUUUUCAGAGACUAUGGUCUUGACAUUAUUAACUAAUAAUUUACGUAGUUUUAUUGCUUUUCUUGGGAAUCUUUACAAAGUUUUAUUGCUUAUCUUCUUUUUACCUGCCAUCCAUGUUUAGGUACAAUUUUGGAUGGAGUCAUGGAAAAGAGAAGCUGGAAUCUGGAAAGCCUGGUAUCACUUUAUGUUCUUUGUUUUAAAUUUUGUUUCUUUGGAAACUCUAAGAACUUAGGAUCAUUCAUUUUCCGUUUGUGUUCUGGUUUUGCAGAUACGUUAAAAGGCUCGUUUUAUGCAAAUCCAAUAUUGGAUAGCCCUACAACAGAUGAAUCUCUAAUUCAAAGGUAAAAGUCAAUAGGGACAUCAAUCAUAAUCUGAGUACAUGUGGGAUCUAUUUUGUCUGAGGUCACACAGUAUAUGGCUCAUACCAGUAAUGUCUGGCCAAACAGUUGUUUGUGUUAGUUAUGAAUAACUAUCAUACAUUUGAUAAAGGUUUCCUAGAAUUAACCAGGACAAAUCGUCUUUAUGCUGGGAUAUGUUUAUCUUUAUUUAUCCUAUUUGAGAACUUACAGAUUUUGCGUAAACAGAACAUAAUACUUUGUGUCUGCUCAGAUUUUAUUUGUGAUAUGUAUUGUAGGUAUCCAUCAUACUGUGGUUCAAAUAUAUGGCCCGAUAGUGAAUUGCCAGAACUAGAAGUCAGUAUGUUUUCCUUUAAUUUAUGAUUGUAUUUUUUCAUGAUUAUGUCAUCACUGCAUGUAACUUUUGAUCUGUAGCCUUCAAAGCUCUUGGAAAGGUGUUCCUUGGAGUUGGGCUUAUGGUCGCAUAUCACUGUGACAGAUACGGUAUGGUCUUUGUUGUUAAGGUUUACACUAAGAGAGCAUAGCUAUCCUGUUUAGUGUUUUUCCGGUCGCAUUUUACACUUAAGUUUUCAUGACACUUAAGUUUUCAUGACGCAUGUUGCAAACAUCAUACAUUUUUCAAGCCAAAUUUCUCUCUUGUCAGUUGUCAUCAUCGACUUCCUUUCCCGACACGGGUAUUUAACUUUCACUAUUGAUAUUCUUACAAUAAGUGAUCCGAUACGAGAGAAACUCACACCUGAGGGAUGCCACUAUGGCGUUAUCUCAAACCGUUCAUUUACCGCCAGGUAUUUUAACUACUAUGUGAUGCGUUUCAAAAAAUCUCAUCUUUGUUUUUUCAUCAAUGCAGGUACAUUAGCCCCGAAUCCUUUGGAUACCUGGAUCUACUACAUAUAUAUUAAAAUUUGCAUCGAUUUUCUUCUUUUCUUAUUCUCUGUAUCUCUCAAUUUUUCUUCCCCUUUUGUCAACCAACUUGUAUGUUUUCUUUCUACAUAUAUAUAUUUUAACUACUGUGUAAAACCGCUUCUUACAAACAAAAACAUUCUCAAACAAGCCCACACUUAUGGUAUAAUAGUAUUGAUAUGCAACCGCAACCGCAACCACAACCACAGUUGAAUUCGUUAAGCGCAUGCCACAAAAACUGUAAACAUGAUGAAUAGAAGUGUUAGAAAACCCCCCUUUUUUUUUUUUUUUUUUGCGGAAGAUAGAGAGUUCGAAGCUAUUACAAUAAUUUAUAGGAGGGGAAGUUUCGUACCUGAGACGCAAGGGUAGAAACCCAACCCUUUCUACAAGUAUAUUAGACCAUAUGCAAACAGAAAACAAAAUAAUAUGCAUAUCCAGAAUUUUGUGGUGCGAAAGUGCUUUCAGAUUAAACAAACCAAUAUAUAUUUUCAUGCCAAAUUAUUUAGUAGACAGGAUUUGUUCGUUGCGGUCUCUGCUUCUGUGCUCCUCCAUGUCUAAGUUGGGAUCUUAAAAUGAGAUAAGGCAGAGGUUCCAUCUAGGCCUUUGUCAUAGAAAUGGGUGUCGUAGUCCCUCACAGUAGUCUCCCUGUACUUUGGAGGGUUGUCUUCUGAUACCAACUCCUUAAUAGGUCCAUAGAGAUUUGUAAAUGGUAGCAAACCUGUGCUAAAGAAGCUGGCAAUGGAUAUCCUUGGACCUUCACGGUUCGCCAAUACCCUGUGUUCUACGCUUUUGAAUCUAUCAUUUGAUAUGAGCUGAAAAUCCCAAAAAGAAUUGAACAUAAAAGACCUAAUUAUGAUAAUCGAAGAAUUCUAAGACAUAUUCUAAGAGAACGCUAACAUGCGACCAAAGCUUGUCUCGAGUAUUAGUCAUUAACAAACUAGCUUAGUUUACGAUACUAUUCUCUUAAUUUAAUAGUAGUUUUUAGGGAGAAAAAAAAAGGGCAAUUGUAUACGUGUGCUUACUUGUAAAAGAUCUCCAAUGUUCACCACUAAAGCCCCAGGCACAGGGGGUACAUCAAUCCACUUAUUUUGACGAUCAACAACUUGCAGACCACCAAUAUGAUCUUGCAGAAGGACCGUAAGGAAGGAAUCAUCAGCGUGCUUGCUUGUGCCCAAAGUUAACUCUGGCUGUGGACAAGCAGGAUAGU
rnacentral:lncRNA from 1 species